CACGUAGGGUGCGAGCGUUGUCCGGAAUUAUUGGGCGUAAAGAGCUCGUAGGCGGUUUGUCUCGUCGGGCGUGAAAACCUGCAGCUUAACUGUGGGCUUGCGGUCGAUACGGGCAUCACUGGAGUUCGGCAGGGGAGACUGGAAUUCCUGGUGUAGCGGUGAAAUGCGCAGAUAUCAGGAGGAACACCGGUGGCGAAGGCGGGUCUCUGGGCCGAUACUGACGCUGAGGAGCGAAAGCGUGGGGAGCAAACAGG
rnacentral:rRNA from 1 species